GCUCCAUUGCAAACCACAUCGAAGGUUUCCCGAUCUCUCCCGGCGACGCCGCAGGCAGGCUCUGGCGCACAGCAAGGCUUUGAAUCAAAUCGAUGGGCGGAGAAGUUCAUCAAGAACGGGGCAACCAGCAAGACACAGGCUUUGAAUCAACUCCGGUCAUCAUGAACACAAAGAGAAUGCAGCAUCAUGAACAGAAAGAGAAUGCAGCACGGAGAACCAGCAAUCCAGACGGGAUCAUCAAGCAGUGCGCAGGGUGUCUCGGGAGAAGAUAAACGCGCUACACAGAAAUCAAGACACGAAGCACGGUGAUGAUCAGGGAUCACGAUCACGAUGAGAUGAAAUACAGGAGCUAGGCAGCUUGGCUCAGAUUCUACUGUUAGCCAAGGUUCCAUUCAGUCACUCCCAUGUACUUUGUUUACUUCAAUCCUACUUCGGACAAACCCCAGGCAAGCUGUUUUUUAAUACUCACAAACUGUCGGAUCACCAGCAGUGAUAGAUCUAUUUAUAUUUUGUUGAUAAUAGCCUGUUGCUGCAAGUGUUUGGUUGUUUUCUAUUCCGUCUGUAAACU